rnacentral:tRNA from 2 species
CCACCCGUAGCUCAGUUGGCCAGAGCACCGCCCCUCUAAGGCGGAGGUCGCCGGUUCAAGUCCGGUCGGGUGGA